GCCUAACAUGUUGAAUUAACAGCAAGAAAUUGUUUGCUCUAUAGGUCUUGAUGCUGUCAAAUUUAUUGUUAAUCAUGCUCUUGUACAAGUAAUAUUUUGCUUGUCUCAAACAUUAAACUCAGUUUUUCAAAUUGGGUUGCAGUUGGAGAUUAAUUUAUGAAGUUUACAAGGAUUGAUAUUCAUGUAGUUUGCUUCAAUAUGGUAUGAAGCAAAUAUGCAUCUCUACUACAAAUUCAAAUUCACUAAUCAAUGUUGGGGAAAGAGGGAAUCAAAGGCAACAUCUUGACUCAAAUCACUAAUGCCCCACAAUUAAUGAAGCUGGAGAAGACCCACAUGUUGCACAUGCACUGAUUAUUGACAGAAAAACUCUAAAAUAUGCUUUGGAAGAUGAUAUCAAACACCAAUUUUUGACAUUAGUUGUUGAUUGUGUGUCUGUUAUUUGGUAUCAUGUAUCUCCCAAUCAAAAGGCCUAGGUAGCACCAUUUUUCUUUGUAUCAUUUUGGUUUCUAUUUAGUAUUUUUUUACUACAUUUCAUUAGUUGAUCACUAUAAACUAUGCUUCUUAUCUAAGUUGUCA